GACGAACGCUGGCGGCGUGCUUAACACAUGCAAGUCGAACGGUAAGGCCUUUCGGGGUACACGAGUGGCGAACGGGUGAGUAACACGUGGGUGAUCUGCCCUGCACUUCGGGAUAAGCCCGGGAAACUGGGUCUAAUACCGGAUAGGACUGCGCGGUGCAUGCCGUGUGGUGGAAAGAUUUAUCGGUGCAGGAUGGGCCCGCGGCCUAUCAGCUUGUUGGUGGGGUAAUGGCCUACCAAGGCGACGACGGGUAGCCGGCCUGAGAGGGCGACCGGCCACACUGGGACUGAGACACGGCCCAGACUCCUACGGGAGGCAGCAGUGGGGAAUAUUGCACAAUGGGCGCAAGCCUGAUGCAGCGACGCCGCGUGAGGGAUGACGGCCUUCGGGUUGUAAACCUCUUUCAGCAGGGACGAAGCGUGAGUGACGGUACCUUCAGAAGAAGCACCGGCCAACUACGUG
rnacentral:rRNA from 1 species